rnacentral:lncRNA from 1 species
CCCCCGGGUGCGCAGGGCCGAGCUCUGGGACCUCCCGUCGGUGCCCCGGACCAGCUGCGUCGAGGCCUGCGCCCAUCGCCUCCUCGAGCUUCCUCAGAGGGCGUUGGCCCUGCUGCCCGCCCGCAAAUCCAUCCCGGUCCCCGUCCCCACGAGGGUGGCCCGAGGGCCCGAGGAUGAACGGGGGUCGCAAAGCGCAGGAGGAGGCCCCGAGCCGCUGUUCUCCGCCUUCACCGGGGAGAUGCCGGUGCCCCUCGGAACUGCGGGGUGAACUGAGGGGCGGAAUUCAAGACCUAGCGCUCCCUCCUUUAAAAGUACGUGCAAAAACGAAUUGCCAAUGCAGUUUACUAUGGAGAGUCACGGGGGAAGUUUGGGGGGGUGCAUUGGGGGAGCCACUGGAGGAGCAGCCCCCCAGCAGCUCAGAACGGCUGUGCCCGGGCCUCGCGGAGCCGGGCGGUUAGCUGACGGCUGGCAGGAGGCCUGGGCGCUGGCACCUGGAGAGAAAGGGAGACGAUUCUAAGAGAUUCACAUCAAAGCCACACAGGAACAGUCUAACUUUGCGGCAGGUUAAUUCAAAUAUUUCAAGAGCCUAACUUCAUAAGUUGUCAUUUGGAAUGGAAGCAGGGAAGGCUGAUGCUGCUGUGCGUAGACGCGCCUCCUGCCCGUGCGGACCCUCCCCGACCUGAGGAAAAGCCCGGCCCGGGCGCACCGGAGGUCUCCUGGCUCAGAACUGCGGCAGGAGCUCGAGGAUGUUGAUGAAGGGACUUCGUAGGUCCUCUCGAUUGUUUUCUUUGCUGUGGCAAAUGCCCAGCUGUGUUGUUGUUUACAAAAGAAGGAAAGAAUAAUCGCGGUAGAAAUGAUAAGACUUUGGUCUAAAAUUCACGCCUGUUCUCUCUUUUUUCCCUUAGAAUGACCUCAUUGUUUUUUCCUGAUGUGUUGCAACAUCUUUUCUUCUUUUUGAAAGUUUUUAUUUACAUUCCAGGUAGCUAACAUGCAGUGCGAUACUAGUUUCAGGUGUGCAAUACAGUCACUCGACACUGCCUUACAUCAGCCAGUGCUCACGGCGACAGGUGCACCUCUUCCCCACCCCCACCCACCUCCCCUCUGGGGACCAACUGUUUGUUCUCUGUAGCUAACAGGCUGUGUCUUGGUUUCUCUCUCUCUCUCUCUCUUCCCUUUGCUCAUUUGUUUUGUUCUUAAAUUCCAAAUACGAGUGCGAUCUGAUGGUAUUUGUCUUUCUCUGACGGACUUACCUUGCUUAGUGUUAUACUCUCUAGCUCCAUCCCUGUCAUUGCAAAAGGCAAGAUUUCAUUUUUUUUAAAUUUUUAUUUAUUUAUUUAUGAUAGUCACACACACAGAGAGAGAGAGAGGCAGAGAGAGAAGCAGGCCCCAUGCACCGGGAGCCCGACGUGGGAUUCGAUCCCGGGUCUCCAGGAUCGCGCCCUGGGCCAAAGGCAGGCGCCAAACCGCUGUGCCACCCAGGGAUCCCAAGAUUUCAUUCUUUUAUGUCUGAGUCAUAUCCUAUUGUGUAUGUAUCCCACAUCUUCUUUAUCCAUUCAUCAGUCAAAAAAAUAAAUAAUCCGAUUAAAAAAUGAGCA